UGCAACAGUCACACAAAUUUUAGCACCACCACAUCCAUCAAAAAGGAUAUGUGUAAGCAUAAAAAAAUAUAGUCAACCAACAUUCCAAGAAAAUUUCUUCACUAUGCCAAGCAUUUUCUUCAAGAUAUCUCUUAUAUCACAAGCUUUCAUCAAGCAGUCACAACAGGAACUUAUUUGCAAAUUGCAAUCAUGCUCCAAUACAUGCAAGUUCAAG
rnacentral:misc_RNA from 1 species